rnacentral:misc_RNA from 1 species
AGCAGCUUAUCGGAGAGGGCGUCAGCUCCGCGCACCAGGAAGUUAGUGAGGCCCGGGGCGUGACUCAACAGCUGACGGAGGAUGGUGGCGCUGCAGGUGUCCGUGUUCACGCUAGUCCACACCUGCAGCAUAUGACAGGGCAUGGAUGGGACACUGAGCCAAGACAAUAAAGAAGCGACAGCGUCCACCUCAACCAUGACGGGAACAAGGUGGAACGGCGACUGGCCGAGUGGAGACUGCCUGACGAAGAGGACCACAGAUAAUGGUCCUGCCUCUGCUGAAGGGAGAACUAAACCAGCGUGUCCCAACAACCCCCAACCUGCUGCAGGAAACUGGCUCUUCUUGCAUUGGAAGACGGAAAGUCUCGCUGCGCCUUCCACGGUGGAAUUGGAUCCUGCCUCGCACCAGCUGCCAUGACACUUGUCAUCCAGGGAGAGAGGACAGCCUGCAUCUCUGCACAUUCCACGGAGGAAUUGGACCCUGCCGCACACCAGCUGGCAUGACAUGUGCCAUCCAGGGAGGAAGGACACACUGCAUUUCUGCACAUUCUACGGAAAAAUUGGACCUUGCUGACAACACGCGGCGUCAUCCAGGGAGGGAGGACAGACUGAGUUGCUGCAUCUAACCUAACAAAUACAUGUUGCCAAUCACUCUUAUGUUGUUAUUCCUUCCAUCUGAUGUGAAUGUUACUCAUAAAUGUAAUGUUAUUAUUCCUUCAUGUUCUGUGAUGUACCCACACAACUGGUGGUAGUUUUUAAUAAAUCAUGAUUAAGAAAACUGAAA